rnacentral:rRNA from 1 species
UGCCAGCCGCCGCGGUAAUACGGAGGGUGCAAGCGUUAAUCGGAAUUACUGGGCGUAAAGCGCGCGUAGGCGGUUUGAUCAGUCAGAUGUGAAAUCCCCGGGCUUAACCUGGGAACUGCGUUUGAAACUAUCGAACUAGAAUGUGGUAGAGGGAAGUGGAAUUCCGAGUGUAGCGGUGAAAUGCGUAGAUAUUCGGAGGAACACCAAUGGCGAAGGCAACUUCCUGGAUCAACAUUGACGCUGAGGUGCGAAAGCGUGGGGAGCAAACAGGAUUAGAUA